rnacentral:sRNA from 2 species
GUAUAUUCAUCGCUUAAUCCUCUUUUGAGGAGCGGGGGAACCAACGAAGCAUAAUCGCUUCAGGGGUGAAUUCUUUCUUUUGCAGAAAGAACGGGGACUCUCAGACCCGAAUCCGACAGCUAACCUCGUAGGCGUCAUGAGAGAGAUCAU